GGAGAGGCCGGCGCCUGGUCUUGGGUCAGCAGGUGGGCUGCUUCCCUCCGCCGGGAACGCGUCUCGAAUGAGUACUGAGGAACAAUAGUAAUAAAGGUAACACGUACACAGACCUCUCGGCCGGAAUCUCCAGGGAUGACCAGCCCCUCCCCACGCAUCCAGAUAAUCUCCACCGACUCUGCUGUAGCCUCACCUCAGCGCAUUCAGGGCUCUGAACCUGCCUCUGGCCCAUUGAGUGUUUUGACAUCUUUGAACAAAGAGAAGAUUGUCACAGACCAGCAGACAGGACAGAAGAUCCAGAUAGUCACCGCAGUGGACGCCUCCGGAUCCCCCAAACAGCAGUUCAUCCUGACCAGCCCAGAUGGAGCUGGAACUGGGAAGGUGAUCCUGGCUUCCCCAGAGACAUCCAGCGCCAAGCAACUCAUAUUCACCACCUCAGACAACCUCGUCCCUGGCAGGAUCCAGAUUGUCACGGAUUCUGCCUCUGUGGAGCGUUUACUGGGGAAGACGGAUGUCCAGCGGCCCCAGGUGGUAGAGUACUGUGUGGUCUGUGGCGACAAAGCCUCCGGCCGUCACUAUGGGGCUGUCAGUUGUGAAGGUUGCAAAGGUUUCUUCAAAAGGAGUGUGAGGAAAAAUUUGACCUACAGCUGCCGGAGCAACCAAGACUGCAUCAUCAAUAAACAUCACCGGAACCGCUGUCAGUUUUGCCGGCUGAAAAAAUGCUUAGAGAUGGGCAUGAAAAUGGAAUCUGUGCAGAGUGAACGGAAGCCCUUCGAUGUGCAACGGGAGAAACCAAGCAAUUGUGCUGCUUCAACUGAGAAAAUCUAUAUCCGGAAAGACCUGAGAAGUCCCCUGAUAGCUACUCCCACGUUCGUGGCAGACAAAGAUGGAGCAAGACAAACAGGUCUUCUUGAUCCAGGGAUGCUUGUGAACAUCCAGCAGCCUUUGAUACGUGAGGAUGGUACAGUUCUCCUGGCCACGGAUUCUAAGGCUGAAACAAGCCAGGGAGCUCUGGGCACACUGGCAAAUGUAGUGACCUCCCUUGCCAACCUAAGUGAAUCUUUGAACAACGGUGACACUUCAGAAAUCCAGCCAGAGGACCAGUCUGCAAGUGAGAUAACUCGGGCAUUUGAUACCUUAGCUAAAGCACUUAAUACCACAGACAGCUCCUCUUCUCCAAGCUUGGCAGAUGGGAUAGACACCAGCGGAGGAGGGAGCAUCCACGUCAUCAGCAGAGACCAGUCGACACCCAUCAUUGAGGUUGAAGGCCCCCUCCUUUCAGACACACACGUCACAUUUAAGCUAACAAUGCCCAGUCCAAUGCCAGAGUACCUCAACGUGCACUACAUCUGUGAGUCUGCAUCCCGUCUGCUUUUCCUCUCAAUGCACUGGGCUCGGUCAAUCCCAGCCUUUCAGGCACUUGGGCAGGACUGCAACACCAGCCUGGUGCGGGCCUGCUGGAAUGAGCUCUUCACCCUCGGCCUGGCCCAGUGUGCCCAGGUCAUGAGUCUCUCCACCAUCCUGGCUGCCAUUGUCAACCACCUGCAGAACAGCAUCCAGGAAGAUAAACUUUCCGGUGACCGGAUAAAGCAAGUCAUGGAGCACAUCUGGAAGCUGCAGGAGUUCUGUAACAGCAUGGCGAAGCUGGAUAUAGAUGGCUAUGAGUAUGCAUACCUUAAAGCUAUAGUUCUCUUUAGCCCCGGUAAGAUAUGCGGUGGGGAUGCAUGACCCUUUUCCACCUGUAUCUACUGAUGUUUCUGAACGUGAACAUGUUGUCAUCAUUGGUGUAGAAAGAGCCCUGCAGAGUGUAUGUGACCUAGUGUUCUUAUGAUAGGUGUUUUGCUAGAUAAAUACAUAAAUGCUUUUAAAUUCUUGCCUUUACAGCCCCAAAGAAAUAUGCUGCAGUGCCUGAUGAUGUCACGCACUGAAUAGAUUUAAUCUGUAUCCUAAUUAAACCAUUGGCCAAACAAGACUACACCAUACAAAAGUGUGCUACCACCCGAUGUCCUUUCUUUUUUUUUCGGCCCUUUGCCAGUUUCCAAGUUUUGUUAGCGCAUAUAAUCCAGUACACAUUGAAGUUCCACUUGUUUGCCCACAGACUGUGUAUAGCGCUGCAGAGCAUGCUAAAAGGUAUGUUCGCAGGAGAUGAAGAGGCAGCAAUCACGAUGCCUGGGCUGGCCUCACUCCCCUUAUUAACUGUUCUCUCAAGUCCUCUGGAAAAGUCACUUAGGCUAAUUGUUCACCUCACAGUAAGGGGUUGUACACAGCUUAACCUUUUUGUCUUCCUUCCCAGCCCUUCACUCACAAACAACAAAAUAGCUAAUAAAAUUGGGACAAAUUAUAUAAUUAUUUAGAAAGUAAAUGACAAUUUGUAAUUUUAUGUGAUAGUUUUUAAAACUAUGUGUUUUCUAGGGUAGUAGGAAGCCAGAUGUCCAGAACCAAUCAUGUGGGGCUGUUCAGACUGGGAUCCACUCAGGGUCCCCGACCCGCUCCCAGGAACUUCAGGCCUGGGCAGAAAACAGAGGAAAAGCCAGUGUUCUAAUAAUACCCAAACUAGAUCAGUCUUUGAGUUCAAUUUGUUGUACUUAAGAAGUUUGCAGAAGUUUGACUAAAAGUACUAAGAAGUCUACAAGUGAGACUUUUCAAAUACAGAGGGAACUAGGGGGGUACUUUUCUGUUUUCAGAUCAUCCAGGUUUGACCAGCACAAGCCAGAUUGAAAAAUUCCAAGAAAAGGCACAGAUGGAGUUGCAGGACUAUGUUCAGAAAACCUACUCAGAAGACACCUACCGAUUGGCCCGGAUCCUCGUUCGCCUGCCGGCACUCAGGCUGAUGAGCUCCAACAUAACAGAAGAACUUUUUUUUACUGGUCUCAUUGGCAAUGUUUCGAUAGACAGCAUAAUCCCCUACAUCCUCAAGAUGGAGACAGCAGAGUAUAAUGGCCAGAUCACCGGAGCCAGUCUAUAGCGCAAACCACACACCUGCCAAGGAGCAACAGAAUCCUUCCGGGACCGUUCACAUAUAAAGAAAAGUAGUGGUAUUUUGGUAUGUGCAAAUAUUUCCAUAUGUUAGCCAUUUCCUGUCUGGUUUCUCCUUAUCUGUUAAUCCCAGACAAUAGCAAUUAAAAGACUAGUAGGAUCCUUUCCUGACAUAAGAAAUGUUUUAAUGCCUUUUGAUGAAGCAGCAGAUUUUGGAACAAUCUUUUAACUCAAUUUGUAUUUAGAAAUUCUCAAAGGGCAAAAAACAAAAAAAAAGGUUUUAUAAUGUCAGAGACUAGUAUUAAAGAAAACUGAAAGAACCUAAGAGAA
rnacentral:sRNA from 1 species